rnacentral:rRNA from 1 species
UACAGAGGUCCCAAGCGUUGUUCGGAUUCACUGGGCGUAAAGGGUGCGUAGGCGGUCGGGUAAGUCUGGCGUGAAAUCUCCAAGCCUAACUUGGAAACUGCGUUGGAUACUAUCCGGCUCGAGGAAUGGAGGGGAGACUGGAAUACUUGGUGUAGCAGUGAAAUGCGUAGAUAUCAAGUGGAACACCAGUGGCGAAGGCGAGUCUCUGGACCGAUACAGACGCUGAGGAGCGAAAGCGUGGGGAGCGAACAGG